rnacentral:rRNA from 1 species
GGGGGAUAUUGCACAAUGGAGGAAACUCUGAUGCAGCGAUGUCGCGUGAGGGAAGAAGGUUUUCGGAUUGUAAACCUCUGUGGAGCGGGACGAUAAUGACGGUGCCGCUCAAGGAAGCCACGGCUAACUACGUGCCAGCAGCCGCGGUAAUACGUAGGUGGCGAGCGUUGUCCGGAAUUACUGGGUGUAAAGGGAGUGUAGGCGGGAAUGCAAGUCAGAAGUGAAAACUAUGGGCUUAACCCAUAGCCUGCUUUGAAACUGUAUUUCUUGAGUGAAGCAGAGGCAAGCGGAAUUCCUAGUGUAGCGGUGAAAUGCGUAGAGAUUAGGAAGAACACCGGUGGCGAAGGCGACUUUCUGGACGACAACUGACGCUGAGGCGCGAAAGCGUGGGGAGCAGACAGGAUUAGAUACCCUGGUA